rnacentral:lncRNA from 1 species
CUCAGCCCAAAGGGAAGUCCCUUUCUUCUCUGACUCCAAACCAGAAGAGGUUUAGAGGGCUUGCUUCAUGUGCCAGGCCAUGGAACUGGGUGCUGAACAACCCCAAACGGAAGAUGCUCGGGACAGACGGAAACCCUUUUAGGUGGCCACCUAGAGGCAGAUGGAGAACUUGGAGAUUUCUGCCUCUUGGAAAAAAAUUUUCAUUUCCUCACUCGACCCAAGGGCCAGCUUGGAAGCAGGCAUGCAUGUGAUCAGAGGACAGUCCCUCCCCAGCGAGACAG